AAGGAAUUAAGCCAAUCUACCAUGAAUUUUGCCUCCUCCUGAAUCCAGGAUUUAACUCCAAGUUCGUAGCUUGGAUCCACCGACACCCCAGAGCAGGACAGCAACCAACACAGAACAGAAGGUGAAUAGGUUUGACACUUCAGUCUUCAACACCCUCAGAGCACUGUGUUACACAGAAACUGUAUUUCACUGCUGCAAUUAACCGGAUCGUGUCCAAAUUAUAUCAAGAAGUAAAUGAUGAAAACUUCACCUGAAAUGCUAUCACCCUGAGAGACAGUGAUUUAGAGGAGGCAUGCCAAUUUACUGUGUUGGUCAAGAGGUCAAAAAGUAUUUCUUCCCUUCCUUCCUCCCACGCUUACAAUUUUAAUUCCCAAAGUGCUCAUAGUCCUUCAAAAUCCAUGUCUCUUUGAGAAUACAGAUCAACUGAGAUUGAGCAACAAGGAAACAGGACCAUUCAGUGACAGAUUAUCAAACUGCUGAACAUCACAACAAAAUAGUGGUGAUCAUAUGAAGGUUUGAAGGACACCUCUCUUACAUCUCAAUUAUUCUUUUUCCUGCAAACAUGACUCUUGUGGAAUAUUUGAUGACUUAAAGCAAGGAAGAGAAGUCAAAAGGGACUGCAACAGGACCUGCACCAAGAGAGAUCAAAAACAUGGAGACAGCCAUCAUCACUGCAAGACUUGAAGCAUUUAGGCACUCAGCUGCUGUGGUCUCACAGCAAGCAGCUUUUCUCCUUUCCAGAACUCUCUAAAACAGGACAGGCUGUAAUUUAGGUGCCACAAAGAAACACCUGGGAACCAACCAAUGAACCAUCUAUGUUCCUAUUCAUGUAUGAAAAUUACUCACACGUCUUCUACUCUCCCAUUUUUGCCCAAAGUCCUUAGCUGUGUCACAGCAUAUGUUGUUUUCUGUUGAUCACCUGAUUUUACGCGGUACCUUAGUUCUGUAUUUGCACAUCUUCUGUGGGUUGGGCUAGGGAGGUAAGAGGGUGCAUGUACAUAUUAUCAUCUCCUUGGAACCUCCCAGCUAGCAACUUCUGUGCCCAGAAAGUACCUAGGAGCCACACUAACAGUCUGACUCCAGGUUUGAGUAGUGAACACACCAUCAAUCAAGUCAUGCUUUUACACAAACAGUCUGCCAAAUCUCAAACCUCUCUGCUUUGAUUAAGGUCAUCAAGAAGGCAGAUCCAUUCCUGAAAGCAAAUUCAAAGAAAUCUCUGCUGAUAAAGUCUGCAACUGACAGGAAAGAAAGAUGAAAAACAGGUGAAAUGUUAACAAUAACAGCUCUACAUAGCUUUCUUUAGCAUAGAAAUGGGCUGAAAAAGAUGAAUUUCAGUACUGCUAGACCAGUUACUUGCAACACAGACCAUUACAGGCCCUCUGCUCAAGGAGAAGGACUGCAUUUAGGACCAAACUUUGGGAUCCAUAGGGAGCACCCAGAGGACUGGUAUCAGCUGCUGCAGAAGACACCAGCUUCACUACAAACAAGCAGACAAUGGGGGAAGAUUCACUACACACAAGCAGACAAUGCCUCGGUGUCACUUCCCACAAGGACAGCACUGGAGUUCCUCACAAGUGAAAUGAGAAGCAGGCAGGAACACUCAGUCUUGGGAGAAGCAGCCUGCUCUGGAGUGCAGAGGAGAAAACUACAUCCCAAAUCCUGCUGCCAGAGGAGGAGUGUGCACAGGGGCCCGGGAAUGCCGCCCAAGCUGCCGGAUGCUGUGGGCGUCUACAGGAUACGGAAUGCAUGUACCACAUCACACCAAAGUGAGGGAGAUGAUGAAGAUUUCUUUAAACAAAGUGAGGAAGCCUCUGGAUCAGACCCUUGUUGUCACAGGGGUCUAUAACUGCCCUGACAUCUUCAGCAAGGGCAACACAGCAGGACACAAGCACAGCAGGACACAAGUUGACAGAGAUUUUUGGAGGGUGUUAGAGGUAACUUGUUGACAUUGGUAGAGGAUGAGGCAACCAGAUGUGAUGCACAGCUGGACCUGCAGUUCAGUAACACAGGAAGAACCGUGUGGGCAUGAAAUAAUCAGUUGGAGCUUUGGCUGUCGCAACCCUGGAACAGGUUCAAGAUCCCGAAAAAAGUGAAAAAGUGAUGUGCAGACCCCAGAUCUGGGAAAAUGAUGCAGUAAAUCCUCUUAGAACACAUUUCUGGGCACACAAAAGAGUAAGUGACUGGGAAGAGUCAGAAUGGGUUUACUAACAGUAGAUCCUGCUGGACCAUCAUGGUUGUUCAACCUCAGAACACAGAGGAAGACUGGGUGUGAUAGCAUAGCACCAGGAAUGGGGCAAAACCCAAAAGAUUAUGUCAGUGACAAUUUUAAUGGCAUUAUUAGACUUGUUUUCCUACAACUAAUAAUAAUUAGUCUCAUAAUAUUUCCAUUAUAUUACAAAUAAAUGCUUGGCCUUACAAAUAUAAA